AAAUUGAGAGUUUGAUCCUGGCUCAGGAUGAACGCUGGCGGCGUGCCUAAUACAUGCAAGUCGAACGCUUUGUGGUUCAACUGAUUUGAAGAGCUUGCUCAGAUAUGACGAUGAACAUUGCAAAGAGUGGCGAACGGGUGAGUAACACGUGGGAAACCUACCUCUUAGCAGGGGAUAACAUUUGGAAACAGAUGCUAAUACCGUAUAACAAUGACAACCGCAUGGUUGUUAUUUAAAAGAUGGUUCUGCUAUCACUAAGAGAUGGUCCCGCGGUGCAUUAGCUAGUUGGUAAGGUAAUGGCUUACCAAGGCGAUGAUGCAUAGCCGAGUUGAGAGACUGAUCGGCCACAAUGGGACUGAGACACGGCCCAUACUCCUACGGGAGGCAGCAGUAGGGAAUCUUCCACAAUGGGCGAAAGCCUGAUGGAGCAACGCCGCGUGUGUGAUGAAGGGUUUCGGCUCGUAAAACACUGUUGUAAGAGAAGAAUGACAUUGAGAGUAACUGUUCAAUGUGUGACGGUAUCUUACCAGAAAGGAACGGCUAAAUACGUGCCAGCAGCCGCGGUAAUACGUAUGUUCCAAGCGUUAUCCGGAUUUAUUGGGCGUAAAGCGAGCGCAGACGGUUAUUUAAGUCUGAAGUGAAAGCCCUCAGCUCAACUGAGGAAUUGCUUUGGAAACUGGAUGACUUGAGUGCAGUAGAGGAAAGUGGAACUCCAUGUGUAGCGGUGAAAUGCGUAGAUAUAUGGAAGAACACCAGUGGCGAAGGCGGCUUUCUGGACUGUAACUGACGUUGAGGCUCGAAAGUGUGGGUAGCAAACAGGAUUAGAUACCCUGGUAGUCCACACCGUAAACGAUGAGUGCUAGGUGUUUGAGGGUUUCCGCCCUUAAGUGCCGCAGCUAACGCAUUAAGCACUCCGCCUGGGGAGUACGACCGCAAGGUUGAAACUCAAAGGAAUUGACGGGGACCCGCACAAGCGGUGGAGCAUGUGGUUUAAUUCGAAGCAACGCGAAGAACCUUACCAGGUCUUGACAUCCCUUGACAACUCCAGAGAUGGGGCGUUCCCUUCGGGGACAAGGUGACAGGUGGUGCAUGGUUGUCGUCAGCUCGUGUCGUGAGAUGUUGGGUUAAGUCCCGCAACGAGCGCAACCCUUAUUACUAGUUGCCAGCAUUCAGUUGGGCACUCUAGUGAGACUGCCGGUGACAAACCGGAGGAAGGUGGGGAUGACGUCAAAUCAUCAUGCCCCUUAUGACCUGGGCUACACACGUGCUACAAUGGCGUAUACAACGAGUUGCCAACCCGCGAGGGUGAGCUAAUCUCUUAAAGUACGUCUCAGUUCGGAUUGUAGGCUGCAACUCGCCUACAUGAAGUCGGAAUCGCUAGUAAUCGCGGAUCAGCACGCCGCGGUGAAUACGUUCCCGGGUCUUGUACACACCGCCCGUCACACCAUGAGAGUUUGUAACACCCAAAGCCGGUGGGGUAACCUUCGGGAGCCAGCCGUCUAAGGUGGGACAGAUGAUUAGGGUGAAGUCGUAACAAGGUAGCCGUAGGAGAACCUGCGGCUGGAUCACCUCCUUUCUAAGGAA
rnacentral:rRNA from 1 species